UAAAUGACAUUCAUAUACUAAUACAAUAACCUGGUAGGCUAUUUACCUUCAUUCUUAUUACACACUGAUACCUCUACAUUUUAUAUUUGUGUUACAGAUUCAAAUAUAGGAGAGGAAUUUAGAAAUAGAAAAAGAGUAUUUUGAAUGUGUAAUUUGUGUGCAAUGCAUCAUUGAUGUUUCAAAAUGUUGUUUCUUGAUGGCCUGGGUCUACUCAUGAUACAACUAUAAUUAACCAUUCCGAUUGAAAAGAUGCAUUGGUGUUUGUAAAAGAAGACUCCCUGUAUAUCAUUGAAAAGUAGAUUAAAACUAGAAAAUAUGCAAGCUGUUAUUAUAGCUGCCAUGCUGCAUAAUAUCGUCAGAAGUAUGAAUUUAGAAGAAUUAGAAUCAGAAAUUUCAGUCGCAGAAACAUUACAGGAAAAUAAUAUAAUUGUUCGUAACAAAUUUUCAAAACUUACAUCUGAAAUACAACUAUGUACUUAUAAAUAAUUGCUUCCAAAGAUAAUUUAUAAAAUAAACUCCAAAGAUAA